GCCCAAAAGAAUAAUGUGUACAAAUAGAAACCCUAGUCUCACACACACACGUACCUGUAUCUGUGUUACCGCAACGUUCUAGGGUUUCAACAGAAACAAACAAAAAUUUAAUUGUUUGUCCAAAAAGGAAAAGGAAACUGCAAGCGAGGGAGAACAAACCCUAGCCCGCUAUGAUUAAGGCAGCUAUAGCACAAAAACGCAACCGUUUCAAUAACCGCUUUCGAAGUAUUAAUAUUGCGAAUUCCAAACAAUGUGUUUCAAAGCAGAGGCACAGAG
rnacentral:misc_RNA from 1 species